rnacentral:rRNA from 1 species
CCUACGGGAGGCUGCAGUGGGGAAUAUUGCACAAUGGGCGGAACCCUGAUGCAGCAACGCCGCGUGGGUGAAGAAGUACUCCGGUAUGUAAAGCCCUGUCAGCAGGGAAGAAAAUGACGGUACCUGACCACGAAGCCCCGGCUAACUACGUGCCAGCAGCCGCGGUAAUACGUAGGGGGCAAGCGUUAUCCGGAUUUACUGGGUGGAAAGGGAGCGUAGACGGCAAGGCGAGUCUGGAGUGAACGCCCGGGGGCCAACCACGGGACUGCUUUGGAAACUGUGUUGCUGGAGUGCAGGAGGGGUAAGCGGAAUUCCCAGUGUAGCGGUGAAAUGCGUAGAUAUUGGGAGGAACACCGGUGGCGAAGGCGGCUUACUGGACUGGAACUGACGUUGAGGCUCGAAGGCGUGGGGAGCAAACAGGAUUAGAUACCCUAGUAGUC